AUGUGUGUGUGUGUUUUAGUAUAUGUAUUUGACUUUACCACCUAACAGUGAAAUGCACUGUUAUUGAAAGUUACAACGACUAGGUUUCAUUAGAAACUGAAAAUUGUUUCACACUUUCAAUUCCAACCAAAGUCACAGUGUUCGAUUACGAGACUGAUGAUGUGUGAAUAAUGAAAGUAAUGUUUCUCCGAAUUAGUCAAAUCUGUAUUAUAAUAAAGAAAGUCACUUAUGCUAUCUUUCGUUUUGACUUGCAGAGCUGUCAUCUGCGUUUGUUAAUUUCCGUAAACAUUUUUUUAUUUAUUUACUUUUGUUUUAAAGUGAAACAGAGAAGAAAAUGAAAGAUGUAUGUACGUGUAUAUGAAAUGGACGUGUGAGAGA